UCCGGCCCCGCCGCCGCCCGGCAACCGCCCAACGGCCGCCCGCGGGGGUGUGGGGGGGGGAACCGAGCCGUUGGUCACCCCCAGGGUCACAGCCAUCUUGGGGCCUGCCCUCAGGGGGUCACCGCGACUGCGGGAGGACAAAGGGCUUGCAGGAUUUCUUACUUCACUUAAAGGAUGUGUGUUCUCUGACUGUCAAGUCACAGACGGCUUCAUGCAUGUUCUGGGAUUAGUUACAACUAAACAUGGAGAUAAGGGAAAGCUUGCAUCCUAUUUCAAAACCCUUCCAGUCAGACAGACACCUAAACAGCCUUGCACAUGGGAAGGUGCUAGCUCAGCCGAACGCAGGCUGUUCACCACAGUGGCCACUUGAAGAAGAGGGGGAAGAAGUUGGGCUGCGGAUGGGAUCAGAAAGCUGCUCACCACAAGGAAAAAGGAAGAAUGCAUCUGUCCUGAUGAGGCUUAGGAUGGGCUGUUACAGAUCCUGGGGAUGUAGAUGGAACAUCCUGAUGCCGCUUUGCUCAUAA
rnacentral:lncRNA from 1 species